rnacentral:rRNA from 2 species
AGAGUUUGAUCCUGGCUCAGGACGAACGCUGGCGGCGUGCCUAAUACAUGCAAGUAGAACGCUGAAGAGAGGAGCUUGCUCUUCUUGGAUGAGUUGCGAACGGGUGAGUAACGCGUAGGUAACCUGCCUUGUAGCGGGGGAUAACUAUUGGAAACGAUAGCUAAUACCGCAUAACAAUGGAUGACACAUGUCAUUUAUUUGAAAGGGGCAAUUGCUCCACUACAAGAUGGACCUGCGUUGUAUUAGCUAGUAGGUGAGGUAACGGCUCACCUAGGCGACGAUACAUAGCCGACCUGAGAGGGUGAUCGGCCACACUGGGACUGAGACACGGCCCAGACUCCUACGGGAGGCAGCAGUAGGGAAUCUUCGGCAAUGGGGGCAACCCUGACCGAGCAACGCCGCGUGAGUGAAGAAGGUUUUCGGAUCGUAAAGCUCUGUUGUAAGUCAAGAACGAGUGUGAGAGUGGAAAGUUCACACUGUGACGGUAGCUUACCAGAAAGGGACGGCUAACUACGUGCCAGCAGCCGCGGUAAUACGUAGGUCCCGAGCGUUGUCCGGAUUUAUUGGGCGUAAAGCGAGCGCAGGCGGUUUGAUAAGUCUGAAGUUAAAGGCUGUGGCUCAACCAUAGUUCGCUUUGGAAACUGUCAAACUUGAGUGCAGAAGGGGAGAGUGGAAUUCCAUGUGUAGCGGUGAAAUGCGUAGAUAUAUGGAGGAACACCGGUGGCGAAAGCGGCUCUCUGGUCUGUAACUGACGCUGAGGCUCGAAAGCGUGGGGAGCAAACAGGAUUAGAUACCCUGGUAGUCCACGC